rnacentral:misc_RNA from 1 species
UCUCCGUUGGUGAACCAGCGGAGGGAUCAUUACAGAGUUGCAAAACUCCCAAACCAUUGUGAACGUUACCUAUCCCGUUGCUUCGGCGGGCGGCCCGGGCCCCGCGCCCGGCGCCCCCCGGCCCCCCGUGGGCGCCCGCCGGAGGUAAACCAAACCCUUGAAUUGCUUGGCCUCUCUGAGUCUUCUGUACUGAAUAAGUCAAAACUUUCAACAACGGAUCUCUUGGUUCUG